CACAGUGUGACUCCAAGUCUAGAUGUGAAUGAAGUUCUUCCUGUCUUUGAGGCCAGCUCUGUCCAGUAUACCAUCAUUACAGGCAGCUAAUACAUUUCAUUUCUGUUUAUCCUGUUUCCUAGUUUCCAGGCCUCUUGAUGCCUCAUGUUGGAGAAGGGAUCCAAGAAUGCAGCCAGGUCUCUGGAUUCGAAUCAGCUCUACCAAGUCUGAAGCUCUUCUGGGUUUGCACCAAGAAGUACAGGUGGUCUCACUGAGCCACCUCGCACUUAAGUUGAGAGACUCAUCAAGUAGCUGGAGAUCCUGAGAAAUACUAGAGGCUCAUCAGCGAGGAUGAAUUCCCUGGUGUACCUCAGUGAAGUGGUUCUCCUUUGCCAAGACUCAAAGGUCAUCACAGCGGAGUGCCUGUCUCCGUGUACAGCCGCUACGGAGUGUCUGGAACAGAGUGAGAACAAAAAUUAUCCGAGUUCCAUGCCCCCUGACUCUUUCAGGAAGAAUCCCAAAAAAAUGACUAUUGGGAAUUUAGAGAGCACAUUUGGAGACUGGGAAGAGG
rnacentral:lncRNA from 1 species